rnacentral:piRNA from 1 species
UCCAGCUAUCAUCUGAUAGAGUCUGAGGACA